rnacentral:rRNA from 1 species
UUGAACGCUGGCGGCAUGCCUUACACAUGCAAGUCGAACGGCAGCACGGAGCUUGCUCUGGUGGCGAGUGGCGAACGGGUGAGUAAUAUAUCGGAACGUACCCUGGAGUGGGGGAUAACGUAGCGAAAGUUACGCUAAUACCGCAUACGAUCUAAGGAUGAAAGUGGGGGAUCGCAAGACCUCAUGCUCGUGGAGCGGCCGAUAUCUGAUUAGCUAGUUGGUAGGGUAAAAGCCUACCAAGGCAUCGAUCAGUAGCUGGUCUGAGAGGACGACCAGCCACACUGGAACUGAGACACGGUCCAGACUCCUACGGGAGGCAGCAGUGGGGAAUUUUGGACAAUGGGCGAAAGCCUGAUCCAGCAAUGCCGCGUGAGUGAAGAAGGCCUUCGGGUUGUAAAGCUCUUUUGUCAGGGAAGAAACGGUGAGAGCUAAUAUCUCUUGCUAAUGACGGUACCUGAAGAAUAAGCACCGGCUAACUACGU